rnacentral:rRNA from 1 species
UACGGAGGGUGCAAGCGUUAAUCGGAAUUACUGGGCGUAAAGGGUGCGCAGGCGGUUCUGAAAGUCAGCUGUGAAAGCCCCGGGCUUAACCUGGGAAUGGCGGUUGAAACUACAGGACUAGAAUCUGGCAGAGGGGGGUGGAAUUCCACGUGUAGCAGUGAAAUGCGUAGAGAUGUGGAGGAACACCGAUGGCGAAGGCAGCCCCCUGGGCUGAGAUUGACGCUCAGGCACGAAAGCGUGGGGAGCAAACAGG